UACGUAGGGUGCGAGCGUUAAUCGGAAUUACUGGGCGUAAAGCGUGCGCAGGCGGUUCGUUGUGUCCGAUGUGAAAGCCCCGGGCUUAACCUGGGAAUGGCAUGGGAAACUGGCGAGCUGGAGUGUGGCAGAGGGGGGUGGAACUCCUGGUGUAGCAGUGAAAUGCGUAGAGAUCAGGAAGAACACCGAUGGCGAAGGCAGCCCCCUGGGCCAACACUGACGCUCAGGCACGAAAGCGUGGGGAGCAAACAGG
rnacentral:rRNA from 1 species